rnacentral:rRNA from 1 species
GGUUAAGCGACUAAGCGUACACGGUGGAUGCCCUGGCAGUCAGAGGCGAUGAAGGACGUGCUAAUCUGCGAUAAGCGUCGGUGAGGUGAUAUGAACCGUUAUAACCGGCGAUUUCCGAAUGGGGAAACCCAGUGUGUUUCGACACACUAUCAUUAACUGAAUCCAUAGGUUAAUGAGGCGAACCGGGGGAACUGAAACAUCUAAGUACCCCGAGGAAAAGAAAUCAACCGAGAUUCCCCCAGUAGCGGCGAGCGAACGGGGAGGAGCCCAGAGCCUGAAUCAGUGUGUGUGUUAGUGGAAGCGUCUGGAAAGGCGCGCGAUACAGGGUGACAGCCCCGUACACAAAAAUGCACAUAUUGUGAGCUCGAUGAGUAGGGCGGGACACGUGGUAUCCUGUCUGAAUAUGGGGGGACCAUCCUCCAAGGCUAAAUACUCCUGACUGACCGAUAGUGAACCAGUACCGUGAGGGAAAGGCGAAAAGAACCCCGGCGAGGGGAGUGAAAAAGAACCUGAAACCGUGUACGUACAAGCAGUGGGAGCCUCUUUAUGGGGUGACUGCGUACCUUUUGUAUAAUGGGUCAGCGACUUAUAUUCUGUAGCAAGGUUAACCGAAUAGGGGAGCCGAAGGGAAACCGAGUCUUAACUGGGCGUUAAGUUGCAGGGUAUAGACCCGAAACCCGGUGAUCUAGCCAUGGGCAGGUUGAAGGUUGGGUAACACUAACUGGAGGACCGAACCGACUAAUGUUGAAAAAUUAGCGGAUGACUUGUGGCUGGGGGUGAAAGGCCAAUCAAACCGGGAGAUAGCUGGUUCUCCCCGAAAGCUAUUUAGGUAGCGCCUCGUGAAUUCAUCUCCGGGGGUAGAGCACUGUUUCGGCAAGGGGGUCAUCCCGACUUACCAACCCGAUGCAAACUGCGAAUACCGGAG